AUCAGAGGACUUCCUGUGGGCUUUUGAGGUCUUCGGCAUGGCGUUGACCUCUGGCAUCAUCAUCACCAUCACCAUCAUCGCAGCCAUGACGACGGCCUGAAGGGGUGGAGCCACAAAAACGUUCUCCUUGGGAUGGUUCAGAUGGAAGAAGGUUCCCCGGGUUCUGCUGGAGGUUCAGGUUCAGGUUCAGGUCCUGGUUCUUCUCUGAUGGUCUCUCCUGGUCUCUGAUGGUCUCUGCUGGUCUCUGCUGGUCUCUGCUGGUCUUCUCCUGGUCUCUGGGCUUUUAUCUGGUCUCCUCGGGGCUCGGACCUCCUCUGAUGAUGUCACAGCGUCUCUUCCUGCGUUUGAAGUGGAACCGCAUGACGAGGCCUCGACCCACUUUCAGUCGACUCAGAGGAAGGAACAUGGAGAAAAGCCACACAUGUGCAGGAGAACAUGGAGAAAAGCCACACAUGUGCAGGAGAACAUGGAGAAAAGCCACACAUGUGCAGGAGAACAUGGAGAAAAGCCACACAUGUGCAGGAGAACAUGGAGAAAAGCCACACAUGUGCAGGAGAACAUGGAGACUCCAUGCAGGAAGAUCCAGGAAGGACAGGACGAGAACCGAGGAUCCUCCAGCUGUGAGGCAGCGAUGCUAACCACUGAUGCACUGUGCAGCCCAAACCCAGAAUAACACAUCAGAUACACCAUAUUGCCAAAAGUAUCUGCUCACCCAUCCAAAUAAUCAGAAUCAGGUGUUCCAAUCACUUCCAUGGCCACAGGUGUAUAAAAUCAAUCACCUGGGCAUGCAGACUGCUUUUACAAACAUUAGUGAAAGAAUGGGUCGCUCUCAGGAGCUCAGUGAAUUCCAGCGUGGAACUGUGAUAGGAUGCCACCUGUGCAACAAAUCCAGUCGUGACAUUUCCUCUCUCCUAAAUAUUCCGCAGUCAGCUGUAUUAUAAGAAAGUGGAAGUGUGUGGGAACGACAGCAGCUCAGCCACCAAGUGGUCGACCACGUAAACUGAUGGAGCGGGUCAGAGGAUGCCAAGAGGUGGACAACUUUCUGCAGAGUCAAUGAAUACAGACCUUCAGACUUCAUGUGGCCUUCAGAUUAGCUCAAGAACAGAGCUUCAGCAGAGAGCUUCAUGGAAUGGGUUUCCAUGGCCGAGCAGCUGCAUCCAAGCCGUACAUCACCAAGUACAAUGCAGAGCGUGGGAUGCAGUGGUGUAAAGCACGCCGCCACUGGACUCUAGAGCAGUGGAGACGCCUUCUAUGGAGUGACCAAUCACGCUUCUCCAUCUGCCAAUCUGAUGGACCAGUCUGGGUUUGGUGGUUUCCAGGAGAACCAUACUUGUGGGACUGCAUUGUGCCAAGUGUAAAGUUUGGUGGAGGGGGGAUUGUGGUGUGGGCUUGUUCUUCAGGAGCUGGACUUGGCCCCUUAGUUCCAGUGAAAGGAACUCUGAAUGCUUCAGCAUACCAAGACAUUUUGGACAAUUCCAUGAUCCCAACUUUGUGGGAACAGUUUGGAGCUGGCCCCUUCCUCUUCCAACAUGACUGUGCACCAGUGCACAAAGCAAGGUCCAUGAAGACAUGGAUGACAGAGUCUGGUGUGGAUGAACUGGACUGGCCUGCACAGAGUCCUGACCUCAGCCCGAUAGAACACCUUUGGGAUGAAUUAGAGCGGAGACUGAGAGCCAGACCUUCUGGUCCAACAUCAGUGUGUGACCUCACAGAUGAGCUUCUGGAAGAACGGUCAAAAAUCCCCAUAAACACACUCCUAAACCUUGUGGACAGCCUUCCCAGAAGAGUUGAAGCUGUUGUAGCUGCAAAGGGUGGACCGACGUCAUAUUGAACCCUAUGGAUUAGGAAUGGGAUGUCACUGAUGUUCAUAUGCGAGUCAAGGCAGUUCUCCCUCCGUCCAGCAGAGGGCGUCACUCUUCCUCUCCAGUCUCCACCUGCUUCCUGCUUCUGUG